rnacentral:piRNA from 1 species
UUCAAAAUUGGAGCAUGUCGUCA